AUUUUGAGAUUGACUUCGUCGUCGUCGCUGCUCGGAUUGAGAAUCUGCUUCGUUUCUCCUUGUCGUGGAGCUUUGAGAAGGAUAAGGAGGUGAAUCGGGAUCCUUCCGAUGGGCCUGGUGGCCAUGUUCUCUGCUUCAUCUUCUUCUCCGACGAAAGUCCACCGUCGAUUUUGGCGUGAGUCAAGAGAGUUAAUCUAUGAGACUAGAGUGUGACACGUGGAGAUCUUCAACCGCCAAGAAUAUUCAACCGAAGUGGAUCAAUCAAACAAACACGAGCCGUUGAUAUUUUCUUUUGGGCUGGGCCUUAUAUUUAUUGUUGUGUACGUACGUAUUACCCUAUUUAAUAUUGUUUUUGUGCAACCACCCUAUUUUAAAAUUAAAAUAUGAAAUAUCAUUGCUAAAAAUUCUUGUUUAUUAUCUAUUCUAUUAAAAAUGAUGUGCAAAACAAUAUUUUCCUAUUUUAAAAUGAUUUCUUAAUUUUUUAAAUUUCUUAACUAAUUGUAUCCACUUUAUUUAUUGUUUUUUCAAAAUAAUUCGACACAUUUAUUACAAAAGUACAAAACAAAAUUUACCAAGUUCAAAAUAUUUUAUUACAUUUUCUAUAUUAUUUUCAUUAUUUAAUGUUAUUUAUUUUACGAGUUAGCCAUAAUAAUUUCGCAUGUUCAAAUGAAAUUUGCUUCAUUAGUAAUAAAAGUUCAAACCGGUUAACAAAGACUUUUUUUAUACAUUUACACAAUCAGUUAGAAAAAUACAUUCAUGUACUAGUUCAUAUACAUAUCAAUUUUUCAGGUAUCGAAUCUUUUUGGAUUUUAAAAUAAAAUUGCUUCAUUAUAUAUGUAUAUGUUUUAUAAUGUCACUAAAUAAUUUAUAUAAAAAGGUAAAAAUUAACAUUUGUGCAGGAUCAAGCUCUAGUUAUGCUUAUAAAUAAAAAGUUUCGGAGCUUCUCAUAAUAAAGAGUUUUUUUUUGUAUAAAAAAAUAAUUUAUUUCUUGGCAAAAAAGAAGUAAUUUAUUUAGUUUAUUAUGUAAAUAUAUAAUCAUUAAAUAUGAAUAAAUUGACCUGUAUAAAUCUGGGUCCAGCAUAGGCUGAUAUAUUGUCAGUGCUGAUAUGGCAGUGACGGAGAUCCUAUGGCGUUUUUAUGGUUGAUGGACUGAUGGUGAUGUUUUUUCACUAUUGGUGUGUUGUAUAAUGAUGCAUUUCUAUAGUGUGUACGUUUCAAAAAUAGUUUGAAAUGUUAUUUUCUUUUUGUGUGAUAAUAAUCUUUUUGAAUAAAUUAACAUUUUAACCAUUGACACAAUCACACUCUUUUGUUACACAUGAAAAGUGCUGGUUUCUGUUGCUCAAAAAGAAGAGUGCUGGUUUCUUGAUCACACACGUCAACUAGUUUUGCCAAACACAAAUAUAAACGGAACUGUGAAAUUUUACGCAUUCAAAUUUUAAUUCCGAAGCAAUCCACAUUUUGAACAGAAAAUGCUGAUAUAUUUAAAUACUUUUUUGAGAAUUUGUAUUCCCUACCCACCAAACCUUCUUUAUUUGCAGUCCAUACUCUAUUUCCCCUUAAUUUUUUUCCCCCCAUCAUUACCAUUUCCCCCCAUUGUAUGGUAUCUCACCUUUUGCAGUAUAUUGAGCUAAUUUACUCUACUUUUUUUGUAACUAAUAUAUUUAAAUACUUUGGUUAGGGAAACUACCUCGAGUAUUUAAAUCAAAAUUGCUGCAUGAAACAUCAUACAACGGUAUAAAGAAACUUUGCUGGACAUUCUUCUCUUCUUUGGUAUGAAUAUUAGCUCAACUACUAAUAGGUUUGAUUGAUCAGUGUGGAUAUAAAAGUUUGGCCACUAGAAAAGAACUACAAAAUGUGAUUGUCUAAAAAAAGUUGCAUGAUACUACAAUUUGUUUUGACUAAAGGGCUAACAUGAUACUCCAAUUUCUCAUGGCAAUAACUCUGAAAGGAAAAGAAAAAUAAAUACAAAGAUCUCCAAUAGAAUAAAUAACAUUAUACAGUCUGAAAUUAUUGACGUUGUAAUAAUGCAUAGGAUUCUCUUCAACUCGAAGCUCUGACUAUUCAAUUUACUCACCAUUACCAAACAUGAUAUAGACCUCUAUUUAGACUUCAAGUAGUUGUAGUUGUGUGGCCAUGUGGGUCAACUUUCCCUAGUUUUGAAUAUUUUCUUCAAAACUCUAAAGCUUUUCAUUAGUUUGUUUUAAAAAGUUGAAUUGGAUUGAAAGGAUUUUUUUUUUGUCUAGUUGAACAAAUUAGUGUUGAUUUUGGAUGUUUAAAUCCAAAAAAAAAAAUAUUGAAACAUGUGGUAGAUUGAAUCUCCUUAACUUGAAUCUGUUAAUUGUAAGCAAACAAAUAUAUGAUAAAUAGUUAUGCAACAUAGGAAUAAGAGAAGAAUGAAUCAAACUAUGAAUUCAAGUUCAAGUCUCAAGAGAAAACAGAGUGUAACAUGUUUUUUUUUAAUAUUAAUUAACUAUAUAUAAACUUGGACCCGAAAAGGAGAAUAGAAAAUCCGAUUACAAACUUGCUGAACAAAAUUUCCAAAUUCAAUCUAUUACAAAAUUAGUUUUUCUCAACCACUAAAUCCAGCGCAAUCCAAUAGUCCAAUUUUCGAAAUUCUUUGAAAUCAGUUGCCGUUCUCAACCAUCGACAAGGAUCACGAGAAGUUGAGGUUUUCCUUUUACCUCAGAUGCCAGAAAUUCCCCCGAUGAUCUCCAAACAUAUAACCAUCACCGUCUAUCAAGCGCUUAACGUAUGAAAGAGAGAGAGAGAGUUCCGAACAUGUUAUGGUCAGAAGAUUCUAGAUCAAAAGACAUACGUUUUCUUCAAUCUUAUUGUUUUGUAGGAUGAAAAUUAAGGAUAUGAAGUUUACAAACUGAAUGAGUUGCAUCAUCAUCUAUGAUACGAUGAUAGAUAAGGACUAGACUAAUUAUAUCAAAAAUAUACAAUAAAGAAAGAGGUCAAGAUAAAGCUGUAGCCUGUAACUAAAAACACAUAAUUAGAAUAAAAUUAAAACCCCUGAUAUUUCUUCGGUUAACAAGUCAUUAACGUACGCACUAA